rnacentral:rRNA from 1 species
CGCCUCUGGGAAGAAUGGGAGGUAGAAUCUGCUCACUGCUAAGAUGUAAAUAGCUGCAGUAUCCUAACUGUACGAAGGUAGCAAAAUUAAAUAGUUUUUUAAUUGAAAACUGGAAUGAACGAUUUGACCAAACCUAAACUGUCUCUUUAGAAAAUAAAAUAAUUUGAAAUUAUAGUUAAAAUGCUAUAAUAAUUAAAGGGGACGAGAAGACCCUGUAGACCUGAAGGAAGCUUUAGAUUUGAAAAAAUUUAUUUCUUCUUAUUUGGGGAAAAACUUAUAAAAAAUGUAAGUUAAAAAUAAAAUCAAUAAAGAAUGAUCCGUUAAAAACGAUAAAAGGAAGAAGGUACCUCAGGGAUAACAGCAUAAUACUAUGCCCGUAGAUCUUAUAUGAGCAUGGGUUUAUGACCUCGAUGUUGAAUUAAGUAUUCAAGAGGAGUGGAGAUAGUCUCUCAGUCAGUCAUGUUCGACUGGUAAUAACU